rnacentral:rRNA from 1 species
AAUGCACGUUGGCGGCGUGGAUUAGGCAUGCAAGUCGUGCGAGAAGUCUUUUGCUUGCAUUAGACGGAAAGCGGCGAAAGGGAGAGUAACGCGUGGGUACCUACCUCUAGGUUCGGGAUAGCUGCGGGAAACUGUGUGUAAUACCGAAUAACAUCUCCGGAUCAAAGGUGUGAUUCCGCCUGGAGACGGGCCCGCGUCCUAUGAGCUUGUUGGUGGGGUAAUGGCUUACCAAGGCCAUGAUGGUUAUCGGGCGUGAGAGCGUGACCCGACUCACUGGAACUGAGACACUGCCCAGACACCUACGGCUGGCUGCAGUGGGGAAUCUUCGACCAUGGCCGCAAGCCUGACCGAGCGUCGCCGCGUGUGGGAUAAAGGCCCUCGGGGUGUAAACCGCUGUCAGUUGGGAGGAAGUGACAUGGGGUUCUCGCCGUGUCUUGACCUAUCAUCAGAGGAAGGACGGGCUAAGUACGUGCUGGCAGCCGCCGCAGUAA